AAACCAGCACCUCAAGUGGUCAGGAUGAUUAUUGGGCCUAAAGCAUCCGUAGCCGGCUCUGUAAGUUUUCGGAUAAAUCUGUACGCUUAACGUACAGGCUGCUGGGAAUACUGCAGAGCUAGGGAGUGGGAGAGGUAGACGGUACUCGGGAGGAAGUGGUAAAAUGCUUUGAUCUCUCGAUGACCACCUGUGGCGAAGGCGGUCUACCAGAACACGUCCGACGGUGAGGGAUGAAAGCUGGGGGAGCAAACCGGAUUAGAAACCCGAGUAGUCC
rnacentral:rRNA from 1 species